UACAGAGGUCCCAAGCGUUGUUCGGAUUCAUUGGGCGUAAAGGGUGUGUAGGCGGCGCCGUAAGUCGGGUGUGAAAUCUCGGGGCUUAACUCCGAAACUGCAUUCGAUACUGCGGUGCUUGAGGACUGGAGAGGAGACUGGAAUUCAUGGUGUAGCAGUGAAAUGCGUAGAUAUUCGGAAGAACACCAGUGGCGAAGGCGGCUCACUGGCCCGGUACUGACGCUGAGGUGCGAAAGCGUGGGGAGCAAACAGG
rnacentral:rRNA from 1 species